rnacentral:pre_miRNA from 1 species
UGGAUCUCGACAGGGUCGACAUGAGAACAUAUGAGCUAUCAACGGCUGUAAAUGACGCUACGUCAUUAUUACAUCUCUGGGUUUCAUGUGUUCUCAGGUCACCCCUGCUGAGCUCUU